GAUGAACGCUGGCGGCGUGCCUAAUACAUGCAAGUCGAGCGAACAGACGAGGAGCUUGCUCCUUUGACGUUAGCGGCGGACGGGUGAGUAACACGUGGAUAACCUACCUAUAAGACUGGGAUAACUUCGGGAAACCGGAGCUAAUACCGGAUAACAUGUUGAACCGCAUGGUUCAACAGUGAAAGACGGUCUUGCUGUCACUUAUAGAUGGAUCCGCGCCGCAUUAGCUAGUUGGUAAGGUAACGGCUUACCAAGGCAACGAUGCGUAGCCGACCUGAGAGGGUGAUCGGCCACACUGGAACUGAGACACGGUCCAGACUCCUACGGGAGGCAGCAGUAGGGAAUCUUCCGCAAUGGGCGAAAGCCUGACGGAGCAACGCCGCGUGAGUGAUGAAGGUCUUCGGAUCGUAAAACUCUGUUAUUAGGGAAGAACAAAUGUGUAAGUAACUAUGCACGUCUUGACGGUACCUAAUCAGAAAGCCACGGCUAACUACGUG
rnacentral:rRNA from 1 species